CCUACGGGUCGCACCAGUGGGGAAUUUUCCGCAAUGGGCGAAAGCCUGACGGAGCAAUGCCGCGUGGAGGUAGAAGGCCCACGGGUCGUGAACUUCUUUUCCCGGAGAAGAAGCAAUGACGGUAUCUGGGGAAUAAGCACCGGCUAACUCCGUGCCAGCAGCCGCGGUAAUACGGAGGGUGCGAGCGUUAUCCGGAUUUAUUGGGCGUACAGGGUGCGUAGGCGGUUGUGUAAGUUUAAGGUUAAAUCCCAGAGCUCAACUCUGGUUCGCCUUAAAAACUACGCGACUAGAAUGUGACAGAGGUAAACGGAAUUCCAUGUGUAGCGGUGAAAUGCGUAGAUAUAUGGAAGAACACCUGUGGCGAAAGCGGUUUACUGGGUCAUUAUUGACGCUGAUGCACGAAAGCGUGGGGAGCAAAUAGGAUUAGAUACCCGUGUAGUC
rnacentral:rRNA from 1 species